UGGGAUAAGCGUUGGAAACGACGUCUAAUACCGGAUACGAGCUUCCACCGCAUGGUGAGUUGCUGGAAAGAAUUUUGGUCAAGGAUGGACUCGCGGCCUAUCAUCUAGUUGGUGAGGUAACGGCUCACCAAGGACACUACGGGUAGGCGGCCUGAGAGGGUGACCGGCCACUCUGGGACUGAGACACGGCCCACACUCCUACGGGAGGCAGCAGUGGGGAAUAUUGCACAGUGGGAGAAAGCCUGAUGCACCAACGCCGCGUGAGGGACGACGGCCUUCAGGUUGUAAACCUCUUUUAUCAGGGAAAAAGCGAAAGUGACGGUACCUGCAGAAAAAGCACCGGCUAACUACGUGCCAGCAGCCGCGGUAAUACGUAGGGUGCAAGCGUUGUCCGGAAUUAUUGGGCGUAAAGAGCUCGUAGGCGGUUUGUCGCGUCUGCUGUGAAAUCCCGAGGCUCAACCUCGGGUCUGCAGUGGGUACGGGCAGACUAGAGUGCGGUAGGGGAGAUUGGAAUUCCUGGUGUAGCGUUGGAAUGCGCAUAUAUCAGGAAGAACACCGAUGGCGAAAGCAGAUCUCUGGGCCGUUACUGACGCUGAGGAGCGAAAGGGUGGGGAGCAAACAAGCUUAUAUACACUGGUAGUCACCCCGACAACGUUGGGCGCUAGAUGAGGGGACCAUUCUACGGCUUUCGUGUCGUAGCUAACGCAUUAAGCGCCCCGCCUGGGGAGUACGGCCGCAAGGCUAAAACUCAAAGGAAUUGACGGGGGCCCGCACAAGCGGCGGAGCAUGCGGAUUAAUUCGAUGCAACGCGAAGAACCUUACCAAGGCUUGACAUAUACGAGAACGGGCCAGAAAUGGUCAACUCUUUGGACACUAGUAAACAGGUGGUGCAUGGUUGUCGUCAGCUCGUGUCGUGAGAUGUUGGGUUAAGUCCCGCAACGAGCGCAACCCUCGUUCUAUGUUGCCAGCACGUAAUGGUGGGAACUCAUGGGAUACUGCCGGGGUCAACUCGGAGGAAGGUGGGGACGACGUCAAAUCAUCAUGCCCCUUAUGUCUUGGGCUUCACGCAUGCUACAAUGGCCAGUACAAAGGGCUGCAAUACCGUAAGGUGGAGCGAAUCCCAAAAAGCUGGUCCCAGUUCGGAUUGAGGUCUGCAACUCGACCUCAUGAAGUCGGAGUCGCUAGUAAUCGCAGAUCAGCAACGCUGCGGUGAAUACGUUCCCGGGCCUUGUACACACCGCCCGUCAAGUCAUGAAAGUCGGUAACACCCGAAGCCAGUGGCCUAACCGCAAGGAGGAGCUGUC
rnacentral:rRNA from 1 species